AUUUUUUCCCUGUCCUCCUAGAAAUGACACUGGGAUGGACAGAGCUGCUCCAGAGGCUGCAGGGCACAUUAAAGGAUGUAACUGGGAGCAAUCGUUCAUUAGCAGUGGAGACAUACUGGAAAUCGAGAAAAUCCUGGGUCUGCAUUGUAUUUCCUGAUAAAUUCAAAUUUCCCUGCCACCGUGAUGGAAAGCAAGCUGAGAUUUGAUGAAUGAAAUUGAGACUCACUGUGAAACAGAGCAACAGCUUUGAAGAGCUGCCAGAUUUCAGCAAAGGUGAGAAUCCAUCCCUCACAGAGCAGGAGACAGGCUGAGCAGCAGAGCCAUUUGAUAGAUGUUAAAAGACAAACCACCAAAAGGCAAAUAUGCCUUUGGAAAACAGUAUUAAGUAAUAUUUUAAAGAAUGGCCACACAUCAUAUUCACACAGAUGCCAACAGGAAGCCCAGCUCAGGAAAAGAAAAGCUUUCAGGACUCGGGCUGAAGACAAGGAUUGCUCUUGAAGUAACUGUAAAAUGCAAUGACCUUGUGGGAGCCCACCUCGAUGAGGCUGGAUAUUUGACUGAUGUACCACUCAAGUCAUUUUCACAGAGCUUGGGAGGAAUUUCAGCUGCAAGAAAUUCUCUGCUUGAGCUUUAGUUUCUUUAUCUCAAGCAUGCUGCUGCAGAGCUCUAAAAGUGGGAAGGGGGCAAGGGCUCGUUUGUGGAGCUGGAAGAUUGGGUGGGCAUAUCCAGGUGGUUUUGCCCUCCAAUUCAUUGUACCUAAAUGCACCUGUCUCUAAUUCUCUGUGUAAUCAUGAAGAUGUUUCUCAGCUGGUGAGCUCAGGUGUGCUGGGGCUGCAGUGGAGCAGGUCUGAACACAAGGCAGAAUUUAGUCAGUUUUUGUGCUGAGGAGACAACCAAAGCUCCAGGGAUGGCACUUUGAAGGCCUUUUCCUCCUUAUUCCAGGGUACUGCCUUGAUGGAGCUGCAUCUGUCUUGGUGAGAAAUUUUCUGUGGGGGAGGUGGGGGGGUCGUGGCUGAGGUUCUGGUGUGGGUGGGUGACAGUGCACUCAGGGAAUGUGUUAUAGGUGCUUCAGUGUUGUAUUUUGGGGCCUCUAGGAAACGGAUGGGAAGGCAGAGUUGCUGCCUCAGAAAUUCCAGGUCAAAAUAGACUAAGACAUGACAAAGUAUAAGGGCAAGGUGUUCUAUUAUGCAUUAUAUAAGGCCAAGAGAAGACUCUGAGAGCUUAUUUAAACUUAAAAUCAGAGAGGGGCAAAUCUACAAGACCCUGUCGAUAUCAGAUUGGAGUGUAUGCAUGCUUUUAGAGCAACCACAAACAUGUUUCUCCCUUGUAAGGCUCAUUAUCCUAAUAUAGAAAGCUCCUGGAGAUAAGGCUGUGUCGGGCAUACGGUAGAGCCUAUGCUCCAGGCACAGGGAGUAAGUGUUGAGGCAAGAAAUGACUUUUUCCUGGCAUGACCCACUAAGAUUGAACUGGAAUGGCAAUUAGAAGUUGAAGUGCUCAUUUAAUGUCAGUGAUGUGUAAACUACGUUGCCAUUGUUAUUUUAGUGCUUAUUUACAUAAUUGGCAUACCCUGAAGUCACACUGCACGAACUUUCAGUUCAUGCUAAAGACUUGCAGGAAGUCAUAAAAUUAAACAU
ensembl:lncRNA